GUGUUCGGGUUGUCACGCCAGUGGCACUGCCCGGUAGCUAAGUUCGGAAUCGAUAACCGCUGAAAGCAUCUAGCGGGAAGCGAGCCCUGAGAUGAGUCAUCCCUGACCCCUUGAGGGUCCUAAAGGGCCGUUGGAGACCACAACGUUGAUAGGUGGGGUGUGUAAGCGUAGCGAUACGUUGAGCUAACCCAUACUAAUUACCCGUGAGGCUUAACCAUACAACACCCAAGAAGUGUUCUG
rnacentral:rRNA from 1 species